CCGACGUGGACAUCCAGGAGUGUCUCCUCCUGGCUCUGUCCUGGUGGCGUAUGGGAGCGUAGCUCUGAGCUGUGACGUACAGUCCCGUUCCACGCCGUCGGAUACAAAGCUCCGUCCCCGGCUGUCAGCUGGUGAGGACGAGCGUCCUGCAUAUUCCUACAUCUUCCCAGAGUCCUUUGGGGCCGUUACUGGGGAGCUAAACCAUGCAGUGCACAAUU
rnacentral:snoRNA from 1 species